UACGUAGGGGGCUAGCGUUGUCCGGAAUCAUUGGGCGUAAAGAGCGUGUAGGCGGCCCGGUAAGUCCGCUGUAAAAGUCAAAGGCUCAACCUUUGAAUGUCAGUGGAUACUGCCGGGCUAGAGUCCGGAAGAGGCGAGUGGAAUUCCCAGUGUAGCGGUGAAAUUCGUAGAUAUUCGGAAGAACACCAGUGGCGAAGGCGGCUCUCUGGGACGGUACUGACGCUGAGACGCGAAAGCGUGGGGAGCAAACAGG
rnacentral:rRNA from 1 species